GCUUUCUUUCUCCCAUCAUCGUUCACAGUUCACAGUAGGAGAGAAUAAGCGUAACUUAACUCUCAUAGGUUUUUCCCAUAAACACAUCAACUCUCAUUCUCCCAUACGUUUUUCUCUUAAGAAUAGGGUUGUUGUAAAUCGCACCGCUGAUCACUUUAUGUAAAUCACAUCGCCAUUAGCAGGAAUGGACAAGUUUGUGAUUAAGAGAAAGAUAACUUCAGAAGAGUUUCUUUCAUCUUCUAUUACUUCUGAUGUAACUGAUCCACAACAAGUACCUUCAAUUUCAAGUACUCAAGUACCUUCAUCUUCUAGUGCUCAUGGUCCAAAAGUACCUUAUGCCGAUGUUCUCAGUCCACAAGCAGCGGCCACAGUUAUAGAUGAGGAGGUAUCGAGGUGGGACCUUCAAACAGACCCUGCAAUGAGAAAACCGAUCUUGAGUUAUCAUCCAAAUGAUCAAGAUAAAGUCCGAAGAGCUUAUAUAGUAAGAGUUGGGUUUUUUGGUAAAGUAUAUAAGGUGUUCUUUUGGGUAACAAUGCUGCAUAGAAGGUGGUUUUUUGGGACUUUUGUGGAUAUUAGCACUUCUACAUGAACCAUAAAGACAUAAAUUUAGAGAAAAUGAUCUGAAAUUUUAGAAUUAACUAUCUAACGUGCCUCUUGUGCUGUAUAUUUUGUUGUUACUGAACACUUGGGGUUAUGAUAAUGAAAAAUAUUUUUGUUA